AUUGAACGCUGGCGGCAUGCCUUACACAUGCAAGUCGAACGGCAGCGCGGGAGCAAUCCUGGCGGCGAGUGGCGAACGGGUGAGUAAUAUAUCGGAACGUGCCCAGUAGUGGGGGAUAGCCCGGCGAAAGCCGGAUUAAUACCGCAUACGACCUACGGGUGAAAGGGGGGGAUCGCAAGACCUCUCGCUAUUGGAGCGGCCGAUAUCAGAUUAGGUAGUUGGUGGGGUAAAGGCCUACCAAGCCUGCGAUCUGUAGUUGGUCUGAGAGGACGACCAGCCACACUGGGACUGAGACACGGCCCAGACUCCUACGGGAGGCAGCAGUGGGGAAUUUUGGACAAUGGGCGCAAGCCUGAUCCAGCAAUGCCGCGUGCAGGAAGAAGGCCUUCGGGUUGUAAACUGCUUUUGUCAGGGAAGAAAUCCUCUGGGCUAAUAUCCUGGGGGGAUGACGGUACCUGAAGAAUAAGCACCGGCUAACUACGUGCCAGCCGCCGCGGUAACAC
rnacentral:rRNA from 1 species